UACGUAGGGUCCAAGCAUUAUCCGGAAUUACUGGGCGUAAAGAGUUGCGUAGGUGGCAGAGUAAGCAGACAGUGAAAUCGUGUGGCUCAACCAUACACACAUUGCCUGAACUGCUCAGCUAGAAGAUGAGAGAGGUCGCUAGAAUUCCUAGUGUAGGAGUGAAAUCCGUAGAUAUUAGGAGGAAUACCGAUGGCGUAGGCAGGCGACUGGCUCAUUCUUGACACUAAGGCACGAAAGCGUGGGGAGCGAACGGG
rnacentral:rRNA from 1 species